rnacentral:rRNA from 1 species
ACGGAGGGUCCAAGCGUUAUCCGGAUUUAUUGGGUUUAAAGGGUCCGUAGGCGGAAAAUUAAGUCAGUGGUGAAAUCCUACAGCUCAACUGUAGAACUGCCAUUGAAACUGAUUUUCUUGAAUAUAGUUGAAGUGGGCGGAAUGUGUAGUGUAGCGGUGAAAUGCAUAGAUAUUACACAGAACGCCAAUUGCGAAGGCAGCUCACUAAGUUAUUAUUGACGCUGAGGGACGAAAGCGUGGGGAGCGAACAGG